rnacentral:misc_RNA from 1 species
GCUGAAGAACGUAGCGAAAUGCGAUAAGUAAUGUGAAUUGCAGAAUUCAGUGAAUCAUCGAAUCUUUGAACGCACAUUGCGCCCGCCAGUAUUCUGGCGGGCAUGCCUGUUCGAGCGUCAUUACAACCCUCAGGCCCCCGGGCCUGGCGUUGGGGAUCGGCGGAAGCCCCCUGCGGGCACAACGCCGUCCCCCAAAUACAGUGGCGGUCCCGCCGCAGCUUCCAUUGCGUAGUAGCUAACACCUCGCAACUGGAGAGCGGCGCGGCCACGCCGUAAAACACCCAACUUCUGAAUGUUGACCUCGAAUCAGGUAGGAAUACCCGCUGAACUUAAGCAUAUCAAUAAGCGGAGGA